AUUGAACGCUGGCGGCAGGCUUAACACAUGCAAGUCGAGCGGAGAUGAGGUGCUUGCACCUUAUCUUAGCGGCGGACGGGUGAGUAAUGCUUAGGAAUCUGCCUAUUAGUGGGGGACAACAUUCCGAAAGGAAUGCUAAUACCGCAUACGCCCUACGGGGGAAAGCAGGGGAUCUUCGGACCUUGCGCUAAUAGAUGAGCCUAAGUCGGAUUAGCUAGUUGGUGGGGUAAAGGCCUACCAAGGCGAGGAUCUGUAGCGGGUCUGAGAGGAUGAUCCGCCACACUGGGACUGAGACACGGCCCAGACUCCUACGGGAGGCAGCAGUGGGGAAUAUUGGACAAUGGGCGGAAGCCUGAUCCAGCCAUGCCGCGUGUGUGAAGAAGGCCUUUUGGUUGCAAAGCACUUUAAGCGAGGAGGAGGCUACCUGGAUUAAUACUCUAGGAUAGUGGACGUUACUCGCAGAAUAAGCACCGGCUAACUCUGUGCCAGCCGCCGCCGUAAGAC
rnacentral:rRNA from 1 species